CUGGGCGGGCAGCUGUUAAGACUUGCAGUGAUGUUUAACUCCUCUCCACGUGAACAUCACAGCAAGUCUGUGCUGCUUCCCGUCCCCUC
rnacentral:pre_miRNA from 12 species